CUCUGCCCUCCGUGUUCACAGCGGACCUUGAUUUAAUGUCAUACAAAAAAGGCACGCGGUGAAUGCCAAGAGCGGAGCCUGCGGGCUGCACUUGAA
rnacentral:pre_miRNA from 1 species